GGGUUGUGAGGUUAAGCGACUAAGCGUACACGGUGGAUGCCCUGGCAGUCAGAGGCGAUGAAGGACGUGCUAAUCUGCGAUAAGCGUCGGUAAGGUGAUAUGAACCGUUAUAACCGGCGAUUUCCGAAUGGGGAAACCCAGUGUGUUUCGACACACUAUCAUUAACUGAAUCCAUAGGUUAAUGAGGCGAACCGGGGGAACUGAAACAUCUAAGUACCCCGAGGAAAAGAAAUCAACCGAGAUUCCCCCAGUAGCGGCGAGCGAACGGGGAGCAGCCCAGAGCCUGAAUCAGUGUGUGUGUUAGUGGAAGCGUCUGGAAAGGCGCGCGAUACAGGGUGACAGCCCCGUACACAAAAAUGCACAUGCUGUGAGCUCGAUGAGUAGGGCGGGACACGUGGUAUCCUGUCUGAAUAUGGGGGGACCAUCCUCCAAGGCUAAAUACUCCUGACUGACCGAUAGUGAACCAGUACCGUGAGGGAAAGGCGAAAAGAACCCCGGCGAGGGGAGUGAAAAAGAACCUGAAACCGUGUACGUACAAGCAGUGGGAGCACGCUUCGGCGUGUGACUGCGUACCUUUUGUAUAAUGGGUCAGCGACUUAUAUUCUGUAGCAAGGUUAACCGAAUAGGGGAGCCGAAGGGAAACCGAGUCUUAACUGGGCGUUAAGUUGCAGGGUAUAGACCCGAAACCCGGUGAUCUAGCCAUGGGCAGGUUGAAGGUUGGGUAACACUAACUGGAGGACCGAACCGACUAAUGUUGAAAAAUUAGCGGAUGACUUGUGGCUGGGGGUGAAAGGCCAAUCAAACCGGGAGAUAGCUGGUUCUCCCCGAAAGCUAUUUAGGUAGCGCCUCGUGAAUUCAUCUCCGGGGGUAGAGCACUGUUUCGGCAAGGGGGUCAUCCCGACUUACCAACCCGAUGCAAACUGCGAAUACCGGAGAAUGUUAUCACGGGAGACACACGGCGGGUGCUAACGUCCGUCGUGAAGAGGGAAACAACCCAGACCGCCAGCUAAGGUCCCAAAGUCAUGGUUAAGUGGGAAACGAUGUGGGAAGGCCCAGACAGCCAGGAUGUUGGCUUAGAAGCAGCCAUCAUUUAAAGAAAGCGUAAUAGCUCACUGGUCGAGUCGGCCUGCGCGGAAGAUGUAACGGGGCUAAACCAUGCACCGAAGCUGCGGCAGCGACGCUUAUGCGUUGUUGGGUAGGGGAGCGUUCUGUAAGCCUGCGAAGGUGUGCUGUGAGGCAUGCUGGAGGUAUCAGAAGUGCGAAUGCUGACAUAAGUAACGAUAAAGCGGGUGAAAAGCCCGCUCGCCGGAAGACCAAGGGUUCCUGUCCAACGUUAAUCGGGGCAGGGUGAGUCGACCCCUAAGGCGAGGCCGAAAGGCGUAGUCGAUGGGAAACAGGUUAAUAUUCCUGUACUUGGUGUUACUGCGAAGGGGGGACGGAGAAGGCUAUGUUGGCCGGGCGACGGUUGUCCCGGUUUAAGCGUGUAGGCUGGUUUUCCAGGCAAAUCCGGAAAAUCAAGGCUGAGGCGUGAUGACGAGGCACUACGGUGCUGAAGCAACAAAUGCCCUGCUUCCAGGAAAAGCCUCUAAGCAUCAGGUAACAUCAAAUCGUACCCCAAACCGACACAGGUGGUCAGGUAGAGAAUACCAAGGCGCUUGAGAGAACUCGGGUGAAGGAACUAGGCAAAAUGGUGCCGUAACUUCGGGAGAAGGCACGCUGAUAUGUAGGUGAAGUCCCUCGCGGAUGGAGCUGAAAUCAGUCGAAGAUACCAGCUGGCUGCAACUGUUUAUUAAAAACACAGCACUGUGCAAACACGAAAGUGGACGUAUACGGUGUGACGCCUGCCCGGUGCCGGAAGGUUAAUUGAUGGGGUCAGCGCAAGCGAAGCUCUUGAUCGAAGCCCCGGUAAACGGCGGCCGUAACUAUAACGGUCCUAAGGUAGCGAAAUUCCUUGUCGGGUAAGUUCCGACCUGCACGAAUGGCGUAAUGAUGGCCAGGCUGUCUCCACCCGAGACUCAGUGAAAUUGAACUCGCUGUGAAGAUGCAGUGUACCCGCGGCAAGACGGAAAGACCCCGUGAACCUUUACUAUAGCUUGACACUGAACAUUGAGCCUUGAUGUGUAGGAUAGGUGGGAGGCUUUGAAGUGUGGACGCCAGUCUGCAUGGAGCCGACCUUGAAAUACCACCCUUUAAUGUUUGAUGUUCUAACGUUGACCCGUAAUCCGGGUUGCGGACAGUGUCUGGUGGGUAGUUUGACUGGGGCGGUCUCCUCCUAAAGAGUAACGGAGGAGCACGAAGGUUGGCUAAUCCUGGUCGGACAUCAGGAGGUUAGUGCAAUGGCAUAAGCCAGCUUGACUGCGAGCGUGACGGCGCGAGCAGGUGCGAAAGCAGGUCAUAGUGAUCCGGUGGUUCUGAAUGGAAGGGCCAUCGCUCAACGGAUAAAAGGUACUCCGGGGAUAACAGGCUGAUACCGCCCAAGAGUUCAUAUCGACGGCGGUGUUUGGCACCUCGAUGUCGGCUCAUCACAUCCUGGGGCUGAAGUAGGUCCCAAGGGUAUGGCUGUUCGCCAUUUAAAGUGGUACGCGAGCUGGGUUUAGAACGUCGUGAGACAGUUCGGUCCCUAUCUGCCGUGGGCGCUGGAGAACUGAGGGGGGCUGCUCCUAGUACGAGAGGACCGGAGUGGACGCAUCACUGGUGUUCGGGUUGUCAUGCCAAUGGCACUGCCCGGUAGCUAAAUGCGGAAGAGAUAAGUGCUGAAAGCAUCUAAGCACGAAACUUGCCCCGAGAUGAGUUCUCCCUGACUCCUUGAGAGUCCUGAAGGAACGUUGAAGACGACGACGUUGAUAGGCCGGGUGUGUAAGCGCAGCGAUGCGUUGAGCUAACCGGUACUAAUGAACCGUGAGGCUUAACCUUACAACGCCGAAGGUGUUU
rnacentral:rRNA from 1 species